GUUGGUCCUGGUUGGUCCUGGUUGGUCCUGGUUGGUCCUGGUUGGUCCUGGUCGGUCCUGGUUGGUCCUGGGAUGGGAGACUGCAGUGAACACCAGGGGCCACAGGGGGCAGCGGUGGCUCUAGUGGAAACUGUUGUUGUGUCCUUAGGCAAGGCACUUGACCUACAUUGCUUAGUCUGGAUGUGGAGUGUGGGGCUGUGUCCCAAUUCGCCCUCCUGGCCUUAGAAUCACCAUUGGAAGGGCGGUUCGAAGGGCAGUGACGUAAUUUCCGGCGCGACAAGGGCUGUCCCAUUUCAACCCACCCGACUGAAUGCGGCCGACAAACCUGCCCUUCCCUUUGCACCGUUUCCAUGGAGAUCGGACGUAACCGGAGCGUGCAUCCGUGCACACACAAGAAAGAAAAAAAAUGGAGAACGGAGCAAGGAGCAGACGGAGGAGUUUAUCCGUCUGAGGGGGAGAAUUCGCACCUGUUCAGUGGGGCCAAAUACUCUGCUCAGGCGGCGUGGAAGACAAUACUGCAGAAGAUGGGCCUGGAGGUCACCCCCCUUCAGGCCAAGAAAAAGUGGGAGAACCUCCAGAAGAAAUAUAAAGACUGCAAGUACCCAAAGAGCGGCGAAGGUGUGGCGGGGAACGCCACGGCUGAAACUUGGCCCUGGUUUGUGCCCAUGGAUGAGGUGUUGGGGCAGAGGGCCUCAAUCAACCCCCCUGUCCUCAUCGCCUCUGUCCCUGAGGACACACCAGGGCCAAGUACUUCCUGGCAGACGCAGCCGCUGGAGGAGGAGGAGGAGGAGGAGGAGCAGCAGCAGCAG
ensembl:lncRNA